CUCCAGCCCUCACCCCUCACCCCCCUCCCACGUCCUCCAGCCCUCACCCCUCACCCCCCUCCCACGUCCUCCACCCCUCACCCCUCACCCCCCUCCCACGUCCUCCACCCCUCACCCCUCACCCCCCUCCCACGUCCUCCAGCCCUCACCCCUCACCCCCCUCCCACGUCCUCCACCCCUCACCCCCCGCCCACGUCCUCCAGCCUGAUUCCAAGCUUCCCAAUGUUCACCUCCUCCACUCCGUACCCCCUCACGCACCGGCACUGUGUUAGCCACUACCCAUCAGCACCCCCACACCCUGGCAGCCUCUCCUGGGGCCCCCUAUCUAGCCCCCCCCCCACCACCGACUGUGACCCCCAGCUCCCCUCAUCCCACCACCACAAGUUCCCCCCUAGCCAUGUCUAGCCCCCCCACACCCCUGUCCUCAGCUACUUUAGCAAUAGAAACCCUAGUCAUCAGAGGAGAGAGGAGAGGACUCGUGCUGAAUCGGAGGGGAGGGGAAAAGGCGAAUAAAUAAAAGAACGUCUCCAUCAAUUAUUGAGGCCAAACAUGCGGAGUGGCUUCUCCCCUGGCCCCGCCCCCCAGGCUCCACUCAGCAUCACCAGGUUGAACCGGACUCCAAAUGUGUUUGCGUUGGUUUAGAGGGAAACAUUCAACACACUUCUGUCUCUCUUUACUUUCAUGAGACGGCUUCUGCGAAGGCGCGGACGCCUAGCUGUUAGAAUCCGCCUCGGUCACACGACCAUCUCAAACACUUCGUUUAGAAGUUUUUUGCCUUGAAUUUUGUUUGGUUGUGUUGUUGUUUUUUUUUUAUGUCAUUUGUUUCUGAAGAUGAUUUCUGUUGUGAAGAACACAACAACAUGGUGACUAACCACACCUCGUCAAAGCCUCUUGUGUUCCCAGAACUCAUGGUUGAUGGUCGUUGCGUUCCUGUCUGUUCUGUUAGCCGCUGUCUGGUGUUCUGUGAGUGAGCAGUCCUCUCAGCCAGUCACAGUCCUCGGCCCGGUCUGAGGUUAGGUUGACCGGGCGCCGCUCACGCAAACUUGAUUCUCCUCUAUGAAAUGUGCCUCACACAGCAGACUGGCUGCACUCUACCCUGAGAUGCAGAGAGACCCCCCCCCCUUCCACACACAAACACACGCACAGCCCAUCCCUAGCUGCCUAGCUCAGCUAUCUUCAGUUCUGCUUCUAGAGAGCUGCAGCACUGCAGAGAAGCUGGCCUUUGGUGCGUUGAAUGUUGAAGUAGCAGGCCUGAGACAGUCAGAAUCACCUCUCGUCUCACGUCACUUAAGUGAGGCAGAAAUGUGAACUCAUGCUGCCACGUGGUGGUUGUUGUUGCUAACAAUGAGGCUAGCAUCUAUGGCCAAGCUAAGUGGAUGUUAGGCUACCAAGUCCAACUAGAGAUCAAUGGACUAGCAUGUAUGGCUGAGCUAACUGCUAAGCACUAGGCUAGCUGGUCCAGGGGAGGGUCUCUUUGCAGCUCAGGUGGUUGCAGGUGAGUGGGUUACUGGGUCAGACACCUGACACCUGAAUGUUUGCCUCGUCAUGAACUAGACUAUACAAAAGCAAAAGUCGAAAUUGAAUUUAUUUUUUCUAUACUUUAUAGAAAUAUUAAGUGUAGACUUGUAUAAAAAAAAUGCAAGUGUCCUAUCCUGCAAGUGCUCAGUGUAAUAACUGCUUACACUAGUGAGAAAGUGGAAUUUGAUAUGCAUCAUUGAAAUGUGAAUUAAACAAUGGCAUAUUAUUAUCAUGUCGAAAUGAUGGCUUGGCAGUAUUUAUGUGAAACGAUUAAACAAUAUGCCUAAUUUUGA